CCGAGCAGGGCCCGCCUACCGCAACGGCUGAGCGCCCCGCCCCUGGGUGGGGACUGAGGCGCUGCUAUCGCGCCUGCGCACUAGGUUGCCCUUCCCCACCCCGCGCCGCCCGCCCUGGGGCGCCUGCGUGCUGGGCUCGCCCGCCGCGGGGGUCCUGGGCGUGAAAAUCGGGCACCGGCCGAGAAGGGGUGAGACUGGACCCCUGCUCGCCGGUGUGGGGCGGCCGGGGGGUGUCGUAGCUCCCGCUUGACCCGGCAGUUCUAAGUGUGUUCGGCUCAGCAUCACUCAUAAUGGCCGACCAGUGAAAGCGACCCCGCGUCCUCCGUCGAGGGAAGAGGCAGAGGGGACCGGGGAUAGCAGACGGCGGCCCCGGCGCGCGCGCGAUGGCCCCCGAGAGCGGUGCGGGGUCCGAGCGGCCCCUCACGGGUGGGAGGGUGUCCCGCUUGUACGCGUCCAUUGACGCGAAGUGUCCGAGGACGUUCUUGUGAGGACACGGUUCGGAGGAGCCCCGGCUGUGCCCGGGGGAGGUGGCGCGUGAGGCUGCCGCACCUGCUGUAGGUGGGCCGGCCGCCCGUCCCUCGUACUCCAGGGGUGUGAGUCAGGGUCAGUUCCGUGGCGACGACGGCUGGUCAGUGUUCACGAUGACUUUGCUUAGAAACACUGAAGACCGAGGCCGUAAGUGCUGUGAAAUGUGAUGGAGCAGAGGGGGAAGUUUCUGGUUUUGGAAAUCCAGAUUGGGGGGGGGGGGGGUCAGGGGGUGGAGAGGCAGGACAGAGAAGAAUCAUCUGGAGCUUCUGUCAUAUUUGAGAGGCAGAGCCGCAGAGAGAGGGAAAAGCAGAGAGGUCCUCCACCCACUGGUUCACUCCCCAGAUGGCCAAAACGGCCAGAGCUGGACUGAUCUGAAGCCAGGAGCUCCCCCCAGGUCUCCCACGUAGGUGCAGGGCCCAAGGCCCCACUCCCACCCUGAAGCAGCCGGGACCGACUAGAACCAGUGCCCAUCAUCAGAUGCCAGUGCCGCAGGCGGAGGCUUACCCUGCCGCGCCGCAGCGCUGGCCCAGCCCUGGAGUUUUGGGCUUGGGUUAGAAUGACUGAGGCGAUACCAGACAAAAUGGAAGGCUAGGGUACAGAUUUGUCGCUUCUCUCCAAAUAAUCCGUUCUUAUAAAUACAGGAAGAUGUGAACAAAAAUGGCUCAAAAUUUCAUCAUUUCAGAGACCAGGUAACAUUUUAAAAAUAAAAGUAGGGGCUAGCGCUUGCGGCGCAGUGGGUUAAAGCCACGGCCUGCAGUGCCAACAUCCCGCAGGGGUGCUUGUUCGAGUCCCGGCUGCUCCACUUCCAAUCCAGCUCCCUCCUGGUGUAUCUGGAAAGGCAAUGGAAGAUGGCCCAAGUGCUUGGACCCCUGCACCCAUGCGGCAGACCAGGGUGGAGCUCCUGGCUUCUGGCUUGAGCCUGGAUCAGCCUCUGCCAUUGUAGCCAUUUGGGGAGUGAACCAGCAGAUGGAAGAUACCUCUUAUCUCUGUGUCUGCCUGCCAAAUAAAUAUUUUUUGAAAAGGUCAUUCAUGGGGCUGGCGCUGUAGUGGAGCCAGUAAAGCCACUGCCUACAGUGCCAGCAUCCCACGUGGGGGCUGGUUCAAGUCCUGGCUGCUCCACUUCUGAUCCGGCUCUCUGCUGUGGCCUGGGGGAAAGCGGUGGAAGACAGCUCAAGUGCUUGGGCCCCUGCACCCGCGUGAGAAGACCUGGAGGAGGCUCCUGGCUCCGGAUCGGUGCAGCUCCAGGCCAUUGCAGCCAACUUGGGAGUGAACCAGUGGAUGGAAGACUCCUCUGUGUGUGUGUGUGUGUGUGUGUGUGUAACUCUUUGAAGUAAAUAAAUCUUUAAAAAAAGAAGAAGAAGGCAGUACACACCGGUGCUGUCCUGACGACUCGGGUGACCCGCACCAAGCACAGAGCUGCGCCUGGCACCCUGCGUCCCCAGAAGCUGAGCGCAGGGAAAGGACCGCCUGGGCUGGGAUGAAACAAAAAGCCUCGUGUUUUACGUGCCAAGUACUUUAAAAACGUUUACAGGCUCUCAAUCAUUUUAAUCAUUUCUAGAAAAGGUAUUAGAAGCAACAAAAAAUCAUCCAACGGAGCCUUAAAUAACUGAUUAUAAAAAAUUUUGUAAAACCACACAAACAUUUCAAGAAUCGAUGCACCCCCGAGAAACAAACCAGGCAAAGAGAAAACAAACUCAGUAUGGUGGGGGUCACACCUGCAGCAGCCCAGCGGGCCCACGCCCUGGGAGGUCUGCUGGGAAGCGGCUGGGGCACUGGCCUCAAGGAAGCUUCCCGCGGGCUAAGGGGGGCCUUGGAACCCCACAGCAGCGGGCUAGAGCCAGUGAAGGAGCCCCACAGCCCAGGAGGGGCGCCCCGGGGCAGGUCUCAGGACACCCGAGAGAGUCCGACCAGGAUGGGAGUUGGGGGACUGGAGAAAGGAGUGCCGGCCCAACAGGCUCCUGGGCAAGGAAGAGACUCAGCAAAGUCGUGGAGAGCUACAGCCCCACAGCUCAGUACCCUCGCGCAGUAGUACCCGUAAAGCCUGUCAAGGAAGCCAACUCCCGUCUGCCCACCACCAUCAGGGAGAGCAAACCCAGUGCCUCCCGCUUCGUCCCCUGCUGCUUCAGGGGCUUCAUGCCAGAGCUAAGCACAAGACCCUGGCCACACUCCUCACUGCAAGAGGGAGGGAAACCAACAGGCUUCCCGGCUACAGCUUGGCAGCCGCUGGUGCCAUAGUGUCAGGCAGGGCUCCAGGCCCUGGACAGACAGCCUCAGGCCGGAGGAGAGCGGGAGCGGAUGGGAGAGCUGGUCAGGAAGGUGGUGUAAGGCCCCUCCCCAAACACAUUGGCGUAGGACGACUUGAGGAACUGGACGUAGUUCUGCAUGCUGCGGUUGGUGCCCUCCGACUGCUCCAGGCGGUCUUUCAGGUCCUGCAGCCGGCUCUGGUAGCGGCGGUCCGCCUGAGAGAGAACAGCGUGGCGGGGUCAGCCCUGCGGUGCAGAGGGUGAAGCUGCCGCCUACAGCGCCGCCACCCCAUGUGGGCACCGGUUUAGUUCCCAAGCUGCUCCACUUCCGAUCCAGCUCCCUAGGUGCUCCUGGGAAAGCAGUGGAGGGAGGCCCAAGUCCUUGGGCCCCUGCACCCACGUGGGAGACCUGGAAGAAGCUCCUGGCUCCCAGCUUCGGAUCAGCCCAGCUCCAGCUGUUGUGGCCAUUUAGGGAGUGAACCAGUGGAUGGAAGACCUCUCUCUCUGCCUCUGCCUCUCAAAUAAAUAAAUCUUUAAAGUAAAAAGAAAUUAUCUUGUGAUGAUAAUUGCACAACUCUGAAUGUACUAAAAACUACCAAGUUGUAUAAUUUAAAAUGCAAAUUUGAGGCCAGCACUGGCAUAGCAGGUAAAGCUGCGCCUGCAGUGCCAACAUCCCAUAUAGGUGCCAGUUUGAGUCCCAGCUGCUCCACUUCCAAUCCAGCUCUCUGCUAUGGCCUGGGAAAGCAGUGGAAGAUGGCCCAAGUGCUUGGGCCCCUGCACCCACGUGGGAGACCAGGAAGAAGCUCCUGGCUCCUGGCUUCGGAUCGGUGCAGCCCUGGCUGUUGUGACCAUUUGGGGAGUGAACCAGCGGAUGAAAGAUCUCCAUCUCUCUCUGGCUCCCCUUCUCUCUGUGUAACUCUGACUUUCAAAUAAAUCUUUUUAAAAAAUUUAAAAUGAAAAUAAAUUUUUUGGAACGUUAA